rnacentral:tRNA from 1 species
CUCGGGCUGGCGGGCGGAGGCCGUGGUGCCGUUCUCGUCGGCCCGGAAGUGGAGCGGCGCUCGCUUCGCCGGGCAGGGC